GAUGAAGAACGUAGUGAAAUGCGAUAAGUAAUGUGAAUUGCAGAAUUCAGUGAAUCAUCGAAUCUUUGAACGCACAUUGCGCCCGCCAGCAUUCUGGCGGGCAUGCCUGUUCGAGCGUCAUUUCAACCCCCGAGCCCCCCCGGGGGCCUCGGUGUUGGGGGACGGCACACCAGCCGCCCCCGAAAUGCAGUGGCGACCCCGCCGCAGCCUCCCCUGCGUAGUAGCACACACCUCGCACCGGAGCGCGGAGGCGGUCACGCCGUAAAACGCCCAACUUUCUUAGAGUUGACCUCGGAUCAGGUAGGAAUACCCGCUGAACUUAAGCAUAUCAAUAAGCGGAGGA
rnacentral:misc_RNA from 1 species